GGGGAUAUAGCUCAGUAGGUAGAGUGCUUGCCUAACAUGCAAGAGGCCCUGGGUUCAAUCCCCAGCACCA
rnacentral:tRNA from 1 species